rnacentral:rRNA from 1 species
GCCUUGCGUCGAUGGAGCGGCCGAUGCCGGAUUAGCUAGUUGGUGAGGUAAAGGCUCACCAAGGCGACGAUCCGUAGCUGGUCUGAGAGGACGACCAGCCACACUGGGACUGAGACACGGCCCAGACUCCUACGGGAGGCAGCAGUGGGGAAUCUUGGACAAUGGGCGAAAGCCUGAUCCAGCAAUGCCGCGUGUGGGAAGAAGGCCUUCGGGUUGUAAACCACUUUUGGCGGGAAAGAAAUGGUCUGUGCUAAUACCACGGAUUGAUGACGGUACCCGCAGAAUAAGCACCGGCUAACUACGUG